rnacentral:rRNA from 1 species
UACAGAGGGUGCGAGCGUUGUCCGGAAUCACUGGGCGUAAAGGGCGCGUAGGUGGCGGCCCAAGUCCAUGGUGAAAGCUCGAUGCUCAACAUCGAGUCGGCCACGGAUACUGGGUUGCUCGAGCACUGUAGGGGCAGAUGGAAUUCCGGGUGUAGCGGUGGAAUGCGUAGAGAUCCGGAAGAACACCGGUGGCGAAGGCGGUCUGACUGGGCGAGUUGCUGACACUGAGGCGCGACAGCGUGGGGAGCAAACAGGG